rnacentral:misc_RNA from 1 species
AAAGUCGUAACAAGGUUUCCGUAGGUGAACCUGCGGAAGGAUCAUUAGUGAAAAACAUCACCCGGUGGACCAAUUUGCCUUGACCGGGAACGGGCAAGCCGCGCUUUGGUCCGCCAUUCCACCCCUUUCAAACAUCAAACCUGUCUGUCCUUGUAUGUGUGUGAACAUGAAUAUAUAUUAUAACUUUCAACAACGGAUCUCUUGGCUCUC